rnacentral:rRNA from 1 species
GACGAACGCUGGCGGCGUGCUUAACACAUGCAAGUCGAGCGGUAAGGCCCUUCGGGGUACACGAGCGGCGAACGGGUGAGUAACACGUGAGUAAUCUGCCCAUCACUUCGGGAUAACUCCGGGAAACCGGUGCUAAUACCGAAUAUGACCACUUCAGGCAUCUGAUGGUGGUGGAAAGUUCCGGCGGUGAUGGAUGAGUUCGCGGCCUAUCAGCUUGUUGGUGGGGUAGUGGCCUACCAAGGCUUCGACGGGUAGCCGGCCUGAGAGGGUGACCGGCCACACUGGGACUGAGACACGGCCCAGACUCCUACGGGAGGCAGCAGUGGGGAAUAUUGGACAAUGGGCGAAAGCCUGAUCCAGCAACGCCGCGUGAGGGAUGACGGCCUUCGGGUUGUAAACCUCUUUCAGCAGGGACGAAGCGCAAGUGACGGUACCUGCAGAAGAAGCACCGGCCAACUACGUG